ensembl:lncRNA
AUGAGGAUUUGCAUCCCCAGAUAUGUGCAAGAUAAGUCAAGGGUUACGACCCACAGAGGGGAUGGAAGAGAGGUGCCAGAUGCCGACAGUUCAAAUCUGUGGCAGUGGGCUCCAGUCCUGGCUGAGGAACUUCCAAUGAGCAGGUCAGUCAUUGUUUGCAUUUGCAGGGGAAGUCUAAAUGGUGACUCUAUUACAGUGGAGUUCUUUGCCUUUAUUUUUAGGAGGUCCAGGCAGAUAGCAGCUGUCAAGGCCAAGUCUGCCAGGUGAGCAGUGGAGAGAAGCAGUUGUUCUUGCUCAGGUUUCAGUUUUUGGUGCAAAACUAAGCAUGCUUUUUUGUUUGUGUGCUUUAGGGAAUCCACUGGCAGUAUGCCGAGCCCUUGUCACCAGCUGGCUGAUGGACCAGGUUUCCUGCACUUAUGAGCCCUCUGGAAGUAUUACAGGACCCUGUGAUGAAGCCUACCGGUUUUGUAUUUCAAGGUCUUCUCCUGGUAGCCCAGAGGACUGGCCGAGGAGUUGCAGUGAGUCGGUGAGGUAGGGAGGAGUGAGAGUCCACUCGAGUUUCAGCAAUGCCAUGUAACGUUGUCUCCACUUAACCUAGCUAUACCCUGCAAUGACGGCGUCAGAAUCCAAGCAGACCUGAAGUGUCCAGGCCAUGUACAUGUCCAUUUUGAUGAGAAUGGUGAGUAGCAAAAUUAUCAGGUUUUGGCAGAUGUGCUGUUAAGACUGUGUACUGAUGUUUGGUUUUCUUUCUCUUGGCAGACCAAGAGGUGUCACGAUCCGCUUAUAGCGGGGUGUCGUGAUGGUUCGUUAGCCGAUCCCAAAGUGCAAAAGACAAACAGCAGGGGACUAUCAGUUUAAUCACAACAGAUGCACCUUUAUUAAGGGCCAAAACCAAUAAAUGCGAUAGUGGGGGUCAGAAAAGAAAUAUAAAAGGAUAGAGAGAGAGAGAGAAAGGGGGGAUGGGAAUAGCUACCAACACAGGCGAGGUCCUCAGUGGUCCGGACGAUGGGGAUCCGUCUUGUUGUGUUGGGGAGAGUCUCCGAAAUCCUACCCAACCCAGGGGUCCAGUUAUAGUCCACAGAAGGAAAGGGGGGAACAUGCAGAACAAUGAGACUCUAUUGAAAUUGCUAUGGGGGGAACAGGUGUAUCUACAGAAAAUCAUCCAGGCUGAACAAACACAAUAAUGAAUAAGUCCAUUGAAGUUACUGGAGAAGAACAGGUCAUGUCAUUUCCCCCACCACCACUCUCUGUGGUAGGGGUCUCAGUCUCAGUCCUUGGGGAGAGGGUUCUUGAUCUCUGUCUGUCACGGUGGUAACGAGGCAGAUGAGGGGUCUUCAGUGAGAGACCACCAGAGUCACCCCAACAGUUCAUUCAGCUUAAAGGUGGAGAGUGAAGCAGGAAUUGCAGAGGGCCGCUCUGUGCUGGGUCCACGCUGGGUCUUCGCCAAGUCCUUGCCAACUCCUUGCCAAGUUCUUGCCGGGCCUCAUUCGGAACGGAACGUAACGGUACAGCGGCUGCACCUGCACUGUUGCCUUCUCCAAGCCGGAACUGCAGUGGGGGAAGGGAGUUCCUUCUCGUGGCAAUCGGCAGGCAAAUGAGUGAGGGUCUUCAGACGGCCUCUUACACCACCCCGUGACUGACGAUUGCCCUCAAGAGAUCUUCUGUAGUGUCGUUGUGAAGUCUUCAGGACUCGUCUAGUGUUGGCAGCAUAUCCCAGAGAAGGGAAAGGAAAGAAAAGAAAAGGAAGGGGGAAAGAGAAUAGGGGAAAUAGUAAAACAAUAACAAUAAUUAAUAAAUUGAAUCAAUAUUAAUUGGAACAAUUUUAAUUGGAACAAUUUUCUAAUCAAUAAACAAUGAGUUGAUUAAAUAAUAUUAAAACAAUUCUUUAAACUAAUAAAACAAUCUUUAAGAAUUCAAAUCAGGUUUUCUAAGUGACUAAAACAAACAAUCUUCCAAUCUUAUAAUUGCUUUGUGUCUAUAGUCCUGGGGAUGUCUAUAGUAUAAAGCACAUCGGCCAAGUGGUGUGCAUUAAUUAUAGCUGUCAAUUUUGUUAAUCGUUUUAUCAUUCUCCAAUUCAUAAUAAGCAAGAUUGCUGAUAAAGCAAAGCCAAUCAAAACUAAAAUCAAAAGAACAACAAUGGGAUGACACAAUUUGUUCAGGAUACCUGUAGCAGUAGGUGACCACCCAAAAAGUGUAUCCCACCACCUAUGUUCUGCAUCACUUUUUACUCUUUCUAUAACCCGAUGUAUUUCUUGUACAUCAUGAUGAAUAGUUACCAGUGUUUUCUGUCCGUUCUCCUUGAUUUUUCCUAAGAUUUUAAUUAAGUCCUGGUGAAGCAACAAUUGCCUUACCAGAGUAAGAUUCAUUCCAAUGGGGGUAGGCAAUAGCUUAUGGAUCAGCGUGUAAUUAGAUUCUAAAAGUUGAUAUGAAGUAACUGGAGCUUCAAAAGAAAAAUCACAUCCUGUAAUUUUAGUGAAAUUGCAAGCACAAAAAUUUGAAUGAUUUUUAGUAUCUAUUACUGUGUCUUCUACAUACACUGUGUUACAAGCAGUUCUAAAGCAUGCACAUCCAUUGCCUAUAUAUACAAGGAAUGUUUUAGGAGUUUCAUUAGGAUGGAUUUCAAAGUGACAGAUAUUUUGUUCAGUGUCCAGGCAAAUAUCCUGAGCUAUAAUUGCAUUGCCUUCACAGAUGAACCCUUGUUGUUCUCGGACAAUACAAGAUUCUAAGUUAACAGUUUGCCAUUUAUCAUCAAUUUGUCGGGCCCAUUCUCUAUGCUCGGAAGGAUAGAGAGUGGCUCCAUCAUGAUUCAAUCCUAAUGCAAUAAUGGGGAAUAUUGAAUGCACGGAGGCAUUGCGUAUGGUUAACACAAAAGCUGUGGCUAAGUUUGCAGUGGGGUCAUAAGUAAAGUUCACCAAAUUCCACCAGGAUUGGAAAUCUUUUUCAAAGUCAGUGGCACUGUCCCAAACUAUCUUCCGAAUUUCCAUAGGAAACGUGCCUUCUUCACCUUCUCUUAUAAUUGAAGCAGCAACUGACUGCAUCCAUAAUUGUGCCUGGAUGCAGCUAAGGGCUAAGGAAACGUUGCUUUGUGUAGAAUUGAGUGCAUCAAUUAUCAAUUCGUGGUCAUUCAUAUUUACCUUUUCCCAAUUUGGUAAUAUGUUUGUUAGCAACCACUGAUGUGUUCCCAAGGCUGAUAAGGAUGAUUGCAAUGGUUGUUGUAAUUGGGUCAAAUCUUUAGUUGUAGCAGCCAAUUUAUUUAAUAAUACUUCUGAAUUAAUACUAUUUAGAAUUCCCAAUCCUGUUCCCACAACACCAGUUAUGUCUCUUGGUAUCCGUGUUUUAGAAGGGUUCCACUGUCGUAACCAGGUCGUCCAACCCUGGAAAGAAGUUUACAAGAAAGGUGAACAAGCUGGCUGAAUUUCAGAGACAUUGCUUUGCAUUAGCAAUUUAACUUGUUUAAGAGACCAUGCCGGAUUGAACAAUAUUUGUUGUUGGCCAUUUUUCCUGAUUAUAUAUGGUUCAACUUUAGAAAUUUUUGGGGUAAGCAUAACUGGUGGUUGGGUGGUAGGUAUCACAACAUUAACAUCAAGUUCUCCCCAGUAUUUAAAUCAAUACUUUAAACUUAAAAGAAAGCGCUUCAGUAUUUUUGGACCAAAGACAAGCUACUUCUGCAGUUUGUGUUAAUGUGAAAUUGUGUCAACAAUCCUGUACGCUUCGGUGCAUACAAACCUUUUUGUGCUUAAAGAGAUCUUUUCACUUUUUCUGCAUACUACCACAAUUAUUUCAGACCGCAACCACUCAGCUGGUUUCUGGCCAUGGGGUUGUGGUAGGAUGCAGGACAGUAUUACCAGUUUUAUCAUGAAUUAGGUGGUCUUCAUGUCCCUCGGAGUUCUUCUGUAAAAGUAAACACAACAGAAUCCUG